rnacentral:ncRNA from 1 species
AUUAUAGAUGGGCAAAGCAGCCGAAAGACUGUGACGCAAAGCUAUAGGACCUGUAAAAUGGUAACCAGUUGCAAAA